CUGAUUUAUGGAUCGGUUCUUACGGAAUGCAUAUACACUUAUCUUAAUCUGUGGCAUAACACUACAUUCACGUCUAACACAAGCAUUGUCUCUUCCAUUUUAUAGCGCAGUUUGCCUGAAGCUCAGCUGGCGGCACUGGACAAGCAAGUGUCUCAGAAGAAGGUGGAGCUGAGGGAGUGCUUCAUCCCACUCACUCCUGUGCGGUUCAGCCCGGCCACGUUGCGUGCCAUAGAGAAGACCAGCCCGUCUUUUCUCCCUACUCCUGAAGAGGGCACUGCUGUUCCUGUGUGCAUCCAGAAGCAAAAGGUGGCAGUGAAGCGCAGGACUGUUGUUGCGAAGAGAAGGCUGCCAAAAGAACAGGUGGACACAGUGGUG